ensembl:lncRNA
GUGUAGUGUUGUCUCUCUUUAUGUAGUGUAGUGUUGUCUUAGGUCUCUCUUUAUGUAGUGUAGUGUUGUCUCUCUUUAUGUAGUGUUGUGUUGUCUCUCUUUAUGUAGUGUAGUGUUGUCUCUCUUUAUGUAGUGUCUCUCUUUAUGUAGUGUUGUCUCUAUGUAGUGUAGUGUUGUCUCUAUGUAGUGUAGUGUUGUCUCUAUGUAGUGUAGUGUUGUCUCUAUGUAGUGUUGUGCUGUCUCUCUUUAUGUAGUCUUGUCUCUAUGUAGUGUAGUGUUGUCUCUCCUUAUGUAGUGUAGUGUUGUCUUAGGUCUCUCUUUAUGUAGUGUAGUGUUGUCUCUCUUUAUGUAGUGUAGUGUUGUCUCUCCUUAUGUAGUGUAGUGUUGUCUUAGGUCUCUCUUUAUGUAGUGUAGUGUUGUCUUAGGUCUCUCUUUAUGUAGUGUUGUGUUGUCUCUCUUUAUGUAGUGGUGUCUAUGUAGUGUAGUCUCUCCUUAUGUAGUGUAGUGUUGUCUUAGGUCUCUCUUUAUGUAGUGUUGUGUUGUCUCUCUUUAUGUAGUGUAGUGUUGUCUCUAUGUAGUGUAGUGUUGUCUCACUUUAUGUAGUGUUGUCUCUCUUUAUGUAGUGUUGUGUUGUCUCUCUUUAUGUCGUGUUGUCUCUCUUUAUGUAGUGUUGUGUUGUCUCGCUUUAUAUAGUGUUGUCUCUAUGUAGUGUAGUGUUGUCUCUCCUUAUGUAGUGUAGUGUUGUCUUAGGUCUCUCUUUAUGUAGUGUUGUGUUGUCUCUCUUUAUGUAGUGGUGUCUCUCUUUAUGUAGUGUAGUGUUGUCUUAGGUCUCUCUUUAUGUAGUGUUGUGUUGUCUCUCUUUAUGUAGUGUUGUCUCUCUUUAUGUAGUGUAGUGUUGUCUCUCCUUAUGUAGUGUAGUGUUGUCUUAGGUCUCUCUUUAUGUAGUGUUGUGUUGUCUCUCUUUAUGUAGUGGUGUCUCUCUUUAUGUAGUGUAGUGUUGUCUCUCCUUAUGUAGUGUAGUGUUGUCUUAGGUCUCUCUUUAUGUAGUGUUGUGUUGUCUCUCUUUAUGUAGUGUUGUGUUGUCUCUCUUUAUGUAGUGUAGUGUUGUCUCUCUUUAUGUAGUGUAGU